rnacentral:rRNA from 1 species
CCUACGGGUGGCUGCAGUGGGGAAUAUUGGACAAUGGGCGAAAGCCUGAUCCAGCCAUGCCGCGUGUGUGAAGAAGGCCUUCGGGUUGUAAAGCACUUUCAGUGGGGAAGAAAGCCUUGGGGCUAAUACCCUCGAGGAAGGACAUCACCCACAGAAGAAGCACCGGCUAACUCCGUGCCAGCAGCCGCGGUAAUACGGAGGGUGCGAGCGUUAAUCGGAAUUACUGGGCGUAAAGCGCGCGUAGGCGGUCUGAUAAGCCGGUUGUGAAAGCCCCGGGCUCAACCUGGGAACGGCAUCCGGAACUGUCAGGCUAGGGUGCAGGAGAGGAAGGUAAAAUUCCCGGUGUAGCGGUGAAAUGCGUAGAGAUCGGGAGGAAUACCAGUGGCGAAGGCGGCCUUCUGGACUGACACUGACGCUGAGGUGCGAAAGCGUGGGUAGCAAACAGGAUUAGAUACCCCUGUAGUC